UUUGUGGAGGAGCUGGGUGUGAGGGAGCUGCUCCUUCGUGUGCAUUCAUGGGAAAAUUUAGGGGAGGCAAAAUUAGAGAUCUCUUUUUGUAAAUGUAGCUUGUUAUUUUCUGUCUAUUCAAGGUUUUUCUGAGGGGACUCUCACCACGGUAUCUAGUGCAUAUUUUGGUUGUCAGGUCCGAAACACAUUCUGACUCAAGCCAGACUUACUUCCCCUUCAUCUUGUUCUCCUCAUCAUUUUACUGCACUUCUGCCCAGGUCACUAGUGCUAUUACAUAUGCUCAUCUCUCAACCAUUCAGAAAAGAACCAGUGCUUGGCACCCAGUGACAAAAGGGAGCAAGUCUUGUAGUGUUAUAUGCCCAAAAGCAGGAUUCUGCUAUUGACAACACUGAGAGAGAUCUCUGGCUUAAAAAAGUGGAUCUUAGCUUGUAUGGGUCCCUUUUUGACAUGGGUGUUUUCUCGGUCUCUUCUGGAAGAUUCCCAAGGUACUUGAUUUAUCUACUUUGGAAGGAUGAAACCUGAAUUGACUUGCUUGCUGGGACCCAAGCCCAUAAUUUCAAAAGGCCUAGGUAUGAUAAAAUUAAAGCUCAGAUCACUAGGCCAUACUCUUUGAAUAAUCUUAACUAAGGUCCUGGAAGCACUUAGACCACAAUUCUGCAAUAAUCUCUGUCUAGGCAGACACCUGACUUAACAAGGUGCUUGGGGUGGGUGCAGGAGUCCACCUCAGUACUGUCAAUCUCAGGUGUUUAAAAAUCAGAAGUUGGAUCCCAAAAAAAUCAUGACAUUGGCUUGAAAAAUCACAAGAUUUUUAAAACACACAUUUGAAGUUCUGUUUAUUUGCCUUCUGGCUUUGAACCUUUCAGGCUUCUUUCUGCAACAAUGAAGGCCAAAAAUCCAAUUCACAUGACUCCAGUAUCUAGGAAUUUAGGAAAAACAUCAAAUGUUAAGAGAUUUGCAAUUAAAAUCAUGUGAGUUGGCACUGCUUCCACAGAGCUCAUUGCAGGAUGAUGGUUUUAUAUGCAGCCUAGUGUGUCAACAGAACUAUUAAGUAGUAAACGGUAUACUCUAGUAUUUACAGGAUCACACUCAUAAGAUGUUUGCCAAUAGAGGGAAAAGUAAAAUGUACUACCAAUUUAAAUUUAUAACAAGUAACUCACAGUGUACUUUAUUAUUUCUUCACAAUAUUAUCUAGACAGACAUAGAAAGUUUAAUGGCAACAUGUAACAGUUUAAACACAAAGAACAAUGUAAUCAUGUUAAACAAUAAUAAACUGGCAAACUACUUUACCUUACAUACAUCAUCCAAGAUAAUGCAUAAACAAUAUCUGUUUAUAUACAAUGAUGCUGGUGAUAUUUAAAUGUCAAAUAUUCAAAAGAAAAAGAAAAAAUGCUAUUUAAAUAAUAAAAAAUAUACAGGAUUUUUUGUGUGUGAUGGGCAUUCUUAAUCCUCUAUAACUUGGUUGUAAAGACUUCACUCCAGGAGGAAUCUGCAUUAACUUUUAGCACUGGCGCACAUUUUAAAAACCAAUUUAGAUUAAACUGAUUCCUUGUCUGCUAUUGCUUAGUUUUGUUUUAAAGAUAUAUAGGAAUACAAAAUAAAACUGAAUUUUUCUGGUUUCAGAGGAUAUUUACACAAAAUCCAAAAAAAUUUAAUUUAUCAUACAUGGUAUUAGGAGUCAUUAACAAAUAAUGUGAAUGAAUCCAUAUGCUAUCUUGUUUAAAAAAAAAUUAGAAAUCCAGGCUCUUUGCACAUGUAACUUCAUCACACUUUUCAUCAACAUUUAAAAAAAGAUUUUUUGAUAUGAAAUUAGUGCAGAUGUAUCGCCAACCGCAUCACCAUGCAGAACUCCCACUGAGGUGAAUGGGAGGUUUGUGUAUGCAAGGACAAGAAGUUUUGGGCCCAUAACCUGCACUUUGUAUCAUCCCAUAUUGACUUUCACACGCAAAAGUCUGUUUCCAAAGGAAUUAUUUCAGUCUCUAGCUGUGUGCUUUAUUAAAGCAUCCCAUGAUUUUACAUAUCACAACAGGAAACUCAGAAAAUAUAUUAAUUGUAAUUAUGGGUUGAUGCACAAACAUGUAGAUGGUUAUGAUUGAAAUCUACUACUUGGACCAUUGUGGCCAAGCUUCUGCAUCAUACAAGACUGUGUGUAUGAACCCCACUCUAAUCACCUUUCAGCCCUCACGAUCCCACUUCUCUCUGUAACUUCAAUUACCACAACAGACGUGUUAUUCCAUUGUCAGAGCCAAUGUCUGAACUACGAAGAACUAUCCUCUGUCUCUCGUCUAAUACUUAGUUUUAGGCUCCUUCCCCUUGUUUUAGAACUCUUAUUUACUCUGUACAUACAACUCUUUGUUUUCAGUUUUUAUUUUACUUAAUUUUCCCUGGGAAUUUAUCAAUGUUUAUAAACACAACCGGAAAAUCAGUGCAAAAAACCUAUUAGUUUUUCUGGGUAAAUAUUGGGGUUUAUUUUGGUGGAUGGAAAGAUGGGGUAAGGGGGAAAAGUAUUCAGUAGAUUAAUACUUUUUGUAAAGUACAGGAAAUUUUCAGUAAAAAUCAGUUAAAACUGAAAACAAAGGGGCUUAGCGGCACAUUGUGGAACUAUAACAAAUCUUAGAUGAUUUUAUGAAGUUUUCCUUUGUUUAAAAAAACAAGACUUUUUCUUUAUUAUUUUAUUGAAAAACAAAGCCCAAAAGAAUUAAAGGACAAAAAAAAAUUGUGAUACAAUAAAAUCAAAUAUCUGAUCUGGUUUGUAGAUGAUUGCUGCUAGAAUUAACAAGGCUUUACUUAAAUACUUUGGGGGGAAUUUUUGUAACCUUUUGCUCUGUUUAUCUUCACUGCCUAAAAUGCUUUUUCUUUUCAUCUAGAUGAAAGGUGGCCAAAUUUCUCAGACACUUUUAUCCUCAGUCAUAGAGAUAUUUCAAUGAUGUAUCUCCUCUCAACAUCUCUUAACACCUCUUCCCAUGUUGUCCCUUGGUUCUCCACAGCCAAGAAACUUUAGAAGUGCAAGUAUUUAUAUUUUUAGUUUCUUUUUAUAGAUUGCCACCAGGACUGAUCAUGGUGAGAGAAGAAGUGAUUUUUAACCGAAAUGUAAUUUUGGGGCGUGACUGUAAGGCCUUGCAUUUUGUAGGGAAAUUUCUGUUGCAUACGGUAACAAAGAAAAUGGAAGGGACAGGAAUCACUGUGAAAGCAAGAGGGUUGGGGGGAGCUUUUUUAAACACGUUCAAGCUUUUAUAUACAUUCAACGUUUCUAGUAUGGUGAUUAAUAAUAAAUGCAUCAUCUACUAUCCUUACAGCUAAUGCAGUCAUAAUAUUGUACAAUUCUGCAGUCAGAAUUAGAAAGCUCCAUUAUCUGUUUAAUAAAAUAACCACUAACAGUUGCCUGGACUUUUUUAACUUAUUAACUAAUAUGCUGGGAAUCCCAGUGAAUAGAUACAACAGAACACAAAUUGGCGGCAUCUACCUAAUCAUCUCUGUAAUGUGACUACUUCGUAUUACUUCUAAAGCAGCUUUGAAAAAUCUUGCCACUGGAGGAUAGUCCAAAACAAACUCUCUCCAAAUUAUCUUGGUAGUAUAGCAGCACAUGAAUUUAUAAUUACUCUUUUUAUAUUUUUUGAUCAUGUAAACCGUCAACAAUUCAACCUUGGAAAAAGUUCAAGGUCAAAUCAUUCAUUAUCUUUAAUGGGGGUUAAUGGGCACAAACUGAAAUGAAGACUAGAUUGUGAAAUGUGGAUUGAAAUGUUAAUACAGUGCCAAUUCUAGUUCAUCUUUUUACCUGGCUUUCCAUAAAUUAAACCUGCUAGAUGGAAAAACCAAGCCUGCAUUCAAUUCCUAAUAUGUGGUUCCCUAUUAUUUUAAAAUAUUUUUCAUAAGUGCCUUGCACAAAUGUAUACAGUUUUGACAUUUCAGGUGUUUUUACUCGGCAGAGUUUAAAAACAGAUCACAUUUGCUUUAGAAACUGAGUGCCAUUAAAUGUUUCUGUAAAAUUAAACCCAUUUAAAUUUAAAAUCCAACGCUUGCUCCAUCUUUGCCCAUAGAAAGUGUAGGUGCCAUGGACUAAAUAGCAAUAAAAAUGCUGAGAUGCACAAAUCUAAAAAAAGCAGCUUUGAAGAAAUCCCAUCAAUUACAGCCUUAACAAUGAACAUAUCACAUUCCUAAAUUACUGCAGCUAUCUUGCAUAUAAUGCCACAAAGUUAGAUUAUUGAAAUGUCAAGGUUGACUCUGCAGUUUUUCCAUUGUAUUGCUUUCACUCUGAAAGUACUUGUAUGUUAUUCCUGUCCUUUUAUCCAGAGCUUUCUAACUUGUCCCUGGAUGUACACUUAGCCAUAAAUUUCAUAUUUUGACAGUUUCAUUGU